rnacentral:rRNA from 1 species
UACGUAGGGGGCAAGCGUUGUCCGGAAUUAUUGGGCGUAAAGAGCUCGUAGGCGGCUUUGUCAGUCGGGUGUGAAACCUCCAGGCUCAACCUGGAGCCGCCACCCGAUACUGCAAUAGCUAGAGUCCGGUAGGGGAGCAUGGAACUCCUGGUGUAGCGGUGAAAUGCGCAGAUAUCAGGAAGAACACCAGUGGCGAAGGCGGUGCUCUGGGCCGGAACUGACGCUGAGGAGCGAAAGCGUGGGGAGCAAACAGG